UAUAUAUAUAUAGAUAUAUAGAGCUAGGCUCCUAUGCUUUCGAAAGUACGGGGGCCUUCGUACUUGUAAGUUGUUUUCGAUGAUGGGACGUCUGAUUCGGUGAUCGGUUUAGUUAGACAUGAUCUACGCUAUUAGAACUAUCUAGAAACCAAAUUUCAUAAUUUUUUGACUUUGUUUGCUUAGUGAACGAGUAGUCUCAAAAUGAAUGACUGAAAAUAAAAAUCUCAUAAAAAAUAAUGGUAAAGGACUCAAAUUUUAAAUCGGAAGUAUUGAUCUUGCUAUUGAAGUUAAGUAGAAUUUUUUUAAAAAUUUUCAUAUAAUUUGGAUACUUCUACUCCGUUGAACUUAAAAACGUGCCGCAUCGGCCGUUAAAAUAGUCAUUUUUGGGACCUUUUGAUGGCUUAAUAAAUAAUGUCAAAAAAUUAUAAAAUUUGAUUUCUAAAUAGUUCCAAUAGGGUAGAUUAUACCUAACGGAGCCGAUCGUCGAAUCGGAUGUCCUAUUAUCGAAAAUAACUUACAAGCAUGGAGG
rnacentral:lncRNA from 1 species